rnacentral:rRNA from 1 species
AACGAACGCUGGCGGCAUGCCUAACACAUGCAAGUCGAACGAGACCUUCGGGUCUAGUGGCGCACGGGUGCGUAACGCGUGGGAACCUGCCCUUAGGUUCGGAAUAACUCCCCGAAAGGGGUGCUAAUACCGGAUAAUGUCUUCGGACCAGAGAUUUAUCGCCUUUGGAUGGGCCCGCGUUGGAUUAGCUAGUUGGUAGGGUAAAAGCCUACCAAGGCGACGAUCCAUAGCUGGUCUGAGAGGAUGAUCAGCCACACUGGGACUGAGACACGGCCCAGACUCCUACGGGAGGCAGCAGUGGGGAAUAUUGGACAAUGGGCGAAAGCCUGAUCCAGCAAUGCCGCGUGAGUGAUGAAGGCCCUAGGGUUGUAAAGCUCUUUUACCCGGGAUGAUAGUGACAGUACCGGGAGAAUAAGCUCCGGCUAACUCCGUG